GGUUAGCUCAGUGGUAGAGCACUUGCCUAGCCUGCACAAGGCCCUGGGUUCAACUCCCAACACCA
rnacentral:tRNA from 1 species